rnacentral:rRNA from 1 species
GGCGCCGGCCGAACCGUUGCGCCGGUCUCGUGCGCGUCGUCUGAUGCGCUAGAUCGAACGCCCACGUUUUCUCCUCAACCGCACCCACGUCCACGUGCUGCUGGGUCCACGCACCGCUUUGGGCGCAGCUUAUCCCUUCGCUUGCGUCGCCUCCUUCUCCACCACUCGUUCUUCUUCUUUUCCCCAUCCACAUUCAAUCCUUGCUGCCGCACGGCGGCGACCAACGCGGAGAGGAGAUGCAGUUUUUUGUGGCAAACCACCGGCAGCAAGCAGCAACCCGCGACGACGACGGCGGCGACAAGUGCUGCAACCAGGACGGACACAAGUGCUGGAGACCCCGCGGCGGCCGGCGUUCAAGAUCUCGGCCAGUUUUUUUUUUUGCUGCAACCAAGUGUUUUUUUGCUGGAACCAGCUUCAAAUUUUGCUACCAAGUAUUUGGGUUUUUGUUUGAAGUGAACCAAUUUUUUUGCUUCCACGCUUCUUCCCCUGCUGGAAUCAGUGUAUUUUUUACUACAGCUGUCUUUAAUUUUUGCUGGAACUAAUAUUUUUUUUGCUUCCAUGUCAUUUUUUGCUGGAACCAUUGUAUCACUUUUGCUACAAGCGUUUUGAUUUUUUGCUACUACCGCCGUGUUGAUUUGUUACAUCCAUUUUUUCAUGAGGUUACGGAGACCCACAACGAUGUGUUUUUUGCUGCGACCACCGUUGAUUUUUGCUACUGCCGGUGUCGACAUUUGCUGCUUUCACACGUGUGCGAAUAUGGGCUGCAAGCAAAAACGGCGGCGAGCAGCAACCUGGGACGACGGCGAGCAGCAACCUGGGACGACGGCGAUGAGACCAGUGGUCGUCGUUCGCGGGGAAACCUAUGCGACGAGUGUCAGCGGCGAGGGACGGGAGUUGCAACCGGCGACGACCUGCGGGACCAACAGUUCUACGAAUCAGGCGAGUAGUGCUCAUCACGGACGUUUUUUCGAGCUCGCCGGCGACGUGCUUCGAGCUCGCCGGCAACGGGGUCGGCGCGGUCACCCGGGGACACGCGAGGGUGCACUAGCGGGGGAGCUCCUCCUCGAGCUGAGCCGGUCGCCGCCGCCGUGGAUUCGGGAUGGGGCGACGCAGGGGGAACGCAAAUCAUUUUUGUUUCUAGCUGUGGCCUGGGGCUCUGACUCAGAUCUGACGGGCCUUAAUUGCUGCAUCGGAUGGCUGGUGGCGGACCGGCCGAAAAUUUCGGUCGAUGCACCGGCGCCUAGCAGUCGCCAAUGGUAAAACAAAUGCGCAAAUAUCCAUUUUUCUCUUCGGUGAAAUUAAAUAGUAGUACUACUGUUACUACAAGAAAGGCACCCCACGGCAAGUGUGUUAGCCCAAGGCCACAAGUGUUUCCAUCGCCGGGAGUCGCAAGCACAGGUCUCCCGCGACUGAUUCAGGGCGCACCAACGAAGUAGAGCUCACUGUCGAGAGUUCAAUGUUGGGAGCCGCACGAGACGAGAGAGCUCCGGUAAAUUUCCACGGAGCACGUACACACGGACAGCGCAGUCGAGGGCUUGGAGAGGACGUACGGUCGACGUCUUCCGUCUUCCAGGUUCCAAGUCGUCCUGGAACCACAAAAGCCACCUACUCCAUCUGUCCUAAAUUUUGGACAACGCUAACGCUCACACGUGUGGUGGGAGCCAAAUUCGUCCACACGCAUUAUAACAUAUAAACUGUGCCACGUCACCGCAUGCAUGCAUGUGAGAAUCUUUUUGGAUUUUCAGUUUUUAAAAUGUUUUAUCUCUUAAAAGAAAAAUUCGAUUGAAGAUCUGUUUUCACCAUUAAAUCCCUCGCGACGAGAUCUUCGAAACUAGAUCCCAUAUCAAUAUAUUUUGACGAAUUUUUUUGGGCUUAAAAAUUGCCAUGUCUAUUGCACAUGAAUUGCCAUUAUGUUUACACUGAAGUUGCCAUGAUAUAUUUCAGCUAUUUUCUUCUACAUUUAAAAGUAAAUUUUAACAUAUUAUAUAACGGGAAUUAAGAAACUAGACUUGCCAUGCAUCAUAAACUAAAAUUGCCAUGAUACAUGCACUUAAAAUUGCCAUGGUUUAUACAAAAAAAUAUUUUCAUGGUCGAAGUACUGGAAUUGCCAUCAUCAGAAAACUAAAAUUGCCAUGUUCUGCAAACUAAAAUUGCCACAUGUUAACUUUAGUUUAAGCACUAUGGCAACUACAGUGUAAACAUCAUGGCAACUUUUGGGCAAAAAAAUUCAUCGAAACAUAUCAACAUGGGGUCUACUUUUGAAGAUCUCGUCGAGACGGAUUUAAUGGUGAAAACAGAUUUUUAAUUCGAUUUUUUAAUUAGAAGAUAAAACAUUUUUAAGCCGAAAACCAAAAAGAUUUUUGCUGACAUCAUCUAUUCAUACGUGGCAAAAUGAGUGGUGAUGGAGGCGUGUGGGCGAUGUGCAAACGCCCACACGUGUGGGCGUUAGUUUUUUCGCAAUUUUUUUGUCUUAGAUUCGUAUAGAUACGAAUGUAUCAAAUCUAUAGAGAUAUUAAGCUCCCUUGAAUUGAAGCGUUGUGGUGCUUCGAGGAUUGUGGGGUCACUAGGGCCCCACACAUAAGUGUGUGUUGUUUCAUUCUAUUUCUUCUUCUUUUUUAUUUUAAUUUUUUUUCACGUUUUAAUUCAUAAGCACUUAAUAAAAUUUGUGUACUUUAAAAAACAUAGACAUAUUUUAAAUUCUUCAAAUACGUUAAUAUCUAUGGAGAUACUAAGCUCCCUCGAAUUGAAGCGUUGUGGUGCUUCAAGGAUUGUGGGGUCACUAGGGCCCCACACGUAAGUGUGUGUUGUUUCAUUCUAUUUCUUCUUCUUUUUUAUUUUAGUUUUUUUUCACGUUUUAAUUCAUAAGCACUUAAUAAAAUUUGUGUACUUUAAAAAAUAUAGACAUAUUUUAAAAUUCUUCAAAUAUGUUAAUAUUGAUUAAAUUUGUG